UACGUAGGGUGCAAGCGUUGCCCGGAUUUAUUGGGCGUAAAGGGCGCGUAGGCGGCUCUGCACGUUCGUUGUGAAAUCGCCCGGCUCAACUGGGCGGGGUCAGCGGAUACGGCAGAGCUUGAGCAAGCUAGGGGGCAAUGGAAUUCCCGGUGUAGUGGUGGAAUGCGUAGAUAUCGGGAGGAACACCGGUGGCGAAGGCGGCGACCUGGGUAGAUACUGACGCUGAGGCGCGAAAGCGUGGGGAGCAAACAGG
rnacentral:rRNA from 1 species